rnacentral:rRNA from 1 species
GAUGAACGCUGGCGGCGUGCCUAAUACAUGCAAGUCGAGCGAACAGACGCGGUGCUUGCUCCUCUGACGUUAGCGGCGGACGGGUGAGUAACACGUGGAUAACCUACCUAUAAGACUGGGAUAACUUCGGGAAACCGGAGCUAAUACCGGAUAAUAUAUUGAACCGCAUGGUUCAAUAGUGAAAGACGGUUUUGCUGUCACUUAUAGAUGGAUCCGCGCCGCAUUAGCUAGUUGGUAAGGUAACGGCUUACCAAGGCAACGAUGCGUAGCCGACCUGAGAGGGUGAUCGGCCACACGGGAACUGAGACACGGUCCAGACUCCUACGGGAGGCAGCAGUAGGGAAUCUGCCGCAAUGGGCGAAAGCCUGACGGAGCAACGCCGCGUGAGUGAUGAAGGUCUUCGGAGCGUAAAACUCUGUUAUGAGGGAAGAACAAAUGUGUAAGUAACUAUGCACGUCUUGACGGUACCUAAUCAGAGAGGCACGGCUAACUACGUG